AAGCCAUGGUGAGGACAUUGUAAUAACAAUCCCUUGAGUCUUUCCCAAGCUGUAACCAACAAAUCCCCUUCUACUUGUUAAAAUUUAUUGAUUUGACUUCUCAUUCU